rnacentral:rRNA from 1 species
GUAGUCCCGGCUGUAAACGAUGUCGAUUUGGAGGUUGUGCCCUUGAGGCGUGGCUUCCGGAGCUAACGCGUUAAAUCGACCGCCUGGGGAGUACGGCCGCAAGGUUAAAACUCAAAUGAAUUGACGGGGGCCCGCACAAGCGGUGGAGCAUGUGGUUUAAUUCGAUGCAACGCGAAGAACCUUACCUACUCUUGACAUCCAGAGAAUUCGCUAGAGAUAGCUUAGUGCCUUCGGGAACUCUGAGACAGGUGCUGCAUGGCUGUCGUCAGCUCGUGUUGUGAAAUGUUGGGUUAAGUCCCGCAACGAGCGCAACCCUUAUCCUUUGUUGCCAGCGAUUCGGUCGGGAACUCAAAGGAGACUGCCGGUGAUAAACCGGAGGAAGGUGGGGAUGACGUCAAGUCAUCAUGGCCCUUACGAGUAGGGCUACACACGUGCUACAAUGGCGUAUACAAAGAGAAGCGAACUCGCGAGAGCAAGCGGACCUCAUAAAGUACGUCGUAGUCCGGAUUGGAGUCUGCAACUCGACUCCAUGAAGUCGGAAUCGCUAGUAAUCGUAGAUCAGAAUGCUACGGUGAAUACGUUCCCGGGCCUUGUACACACCGCCCGUCACACCAUGGGAGUGGGUUGCAAAAGAAGUAGGUAGCUUAACCUUCGGGAGGGCGCUUACCACUUUGUGAUUCAUGACUGGGGUGAAGUCGUAACAAGGUAACCGUAGGGGAACCUGCGGCUGGAUCACCUCC